rnacentral:rRNA from 1 species
AUGCACUUGUUCAUCAGGCAAUAUGAGAAGAUGCAAUUUGACCGCGAUUCCGAAGAAAGUUACCAAGAGAAAAGGACAAAACUGGGUGGGGUUGUCCUGAAGCAAAAUAUCCCAAUUGAGGUACAUGCGUCGGAGGUGUACAUCAGGACAAUGUUUGAGAAAUUUGGUGAAGUGUUGUAUGGAUGUGGAUCUUAUGACCUAAUAGAAGUCAAGCCACGCUUGGAGUACAUUGCUAGGCACAUCAAAUUUCAGUCAAAGGAAAAAUGGUGCAAGAACGAGUUUGUGAUCACUGUGAGCGAGGCAGCCGACGAGUUCAAGUGUGAGUGUGGGACGUCUGAGCACUAUGGAAUGGUGUGCAGCCAUGCACUUAAGGUGAUGAUACACCUAAAACUGCGUGAGCUCCCUGUGAAGCAUGUGCUGAAGCGAUGGACAAAAGACGCGACAGAUAUACUGCCGCCAGAGUAUUUGCGCUACCAAAAGGAUCAUGGGCCGCUCAAGUAUUCCUCUCGCCGACACAACACUUUAUACCUCUUGGCGCUGGAUGUUGUUAAGUUAGGUGACAGCAAUGUGGAAGCAUAUGCUCUUGCUGAGGAAAAACUGCGACAUGUCAAAGUGCAGCUGGAGCCAGUUGCUGCUGUGAGGGAUGGACUUGGGUUGUUUGAUAAGGAGCUGGCCGCAGAUUCAGCGGGUUCCGGCGUUGGUAACAAGCAGCACUUUGGUCGACCUGAGUCUGAGCACACCAUUUCACAGGGAUCGGAUGUGUUCCCAGCUGCAUCAAAGAAGCGGCCGGCUGGGCGCCCUACAACCAGCCGUGACAAGGCUCCAUAUGAACAACCAUCAAAGAGGACUAGGUUUUGUUCAAUAUGCAGACUUCAGGGGCACAAGAGCACGACAUGCCCUGCAAGGGGUGAUGUGCCAAAGGCGCCCCGGAAAUCUCCUCGCUGCUCAAAAUGUGGUUUGACCGGGCAUAGGAAGAACACAUGCAGCAACCCCCCGAAAGUAUGA